UGUUCCCAUUUCUCACGCCCGCAUGUGCAUCACGCAGACACGCGAAAAUGCCUGCGUGAUAGCCGCGUACGCAUUCCGCGAAGCCGAAGACGUUGCUCACCACACGCACCAAACACGUGUAGACUCAUUAGACCACCGCUGGCGGCGGCACCAUACAUGCACCAAGACACGGACACGCACGCGUGCCUCCGAACAUACAACGAUUUGAGCAUCUUUUUCUCCCGCUGAAGGGCGCUUGUAUGGUCCUGUAUGACUUGCUUGCAUUUUUCGUUUUACAAGCGUAGACGUCGUACGUAGCUCACAUGGCUACCUACCACGCCGCCACCUGCCACGUAUGUGAGCGGAGCGGCGAUGAAUGGGCACCACCGCGAGGAGGACCACUCCCGCCACCGCUACGUGAAUGUCUUGCCUCUUGCUCCUCGUGUUCUCGCCGCUUCGCACACGACCAAGUCAACCUCUCCUAUCCGAUAAAGGACGCGUCAGUCACCGCUUGGAACGUGCUGGAUCUGGCCCCGGCGCUGCCACGACACGACUCCACAUCAGUGGUGGCCACUGCAGACGCGACACAUGUGAGUGGUGGUAGCGUGGACGACGGCCAAGAGGCAUUGUGCAGUCGGUGCAGCAGACAAGAAGCUCCUGCGUGCUGUUGCGGCUCCCUGCUCCAGAUUGACCUCGCCGAGCUGCGCGCGCUUCUCUGCGGCUCAGCAUCAAGAGACGGCACUGCAUUGCGGCAUCCAUCAGCUGCUCAGCCGCUGCUCGCCAACGCACCAGUAUUUGCGCGGUGUAUACGGCUACACUGCAUUCUUUUCGAUGUGGUACUCCAUGACGACGCAGGCGAUCCAGACAUGAUCGGCAGCGGUCUUUGCUCAUCGCCGUCUGUAGCAGGAGCUCUCGCUGUCGCCGUCGGCGCACACACCGGCACCGGUGUCACUGAAGACGGGGGAACGGAUGAAGGCCAUGGAGGCAGCAACUGGCUUUCACUGGCCGCGGCAUCCUCGGUGGCCAGCGCGGCGUGCGCCCUGACGUGGCUUCUGACGGUCUUUCUGCCACUGUCACGGGUGCCGGCCCUGGCAAUAGGGCUUACGGUUUCCCGCCCUGCAUUUGCGGGUCCCGGUAACGAGGUCGGCGCUGACACGCCUAUGCAGUGGUGUUACGUGGAGCGCGGCGCCUCCCGCUCCGUGCCGUAUGACGCGUUGUGGGCGCACUGGACGGCAAUGGUCACACCACCAGAAAGUCGCCGAGCAGGUUCGAGGCUCGCGUCGGCGCCCUGUUUUGCCGAGGGCGAUCACGGCAAUGACUUCAUCGUUUGGGGUCGCCUGCAGCACUGCACGGAGAGAGUGACGACGGUUUUGUUUGGUGGGCAGCCGGCCGGCUCUGUGACUGCCAAGUCCACACGUCUGUGCGCCCUUCUCGCGGUGCUCGGCGAUGUGCGUGCAUGUGCAACACGGCAAUCCACCUCCGACCCACUCCCGGUUCUGCUCUCUGACGAGACAAGUGUGCCGCAGCGUCUACUCUUUCAGUGGUUCACGUUUCUUGGGCUCCGAAGCGCAUCGUCGUUAGAGUGCCGGCCCUCGGUAGAGCUGUCGACUGAGAUCCAUGCCAUCGUAUCCACACGCGACUGGCUGGCAGAGCUAAGUGCGUGCAACUCGAUUUACUCUCUCGGGCACUGGCUGCACCUCGUCUCGCAGUGGCUGACUUUUCGCGUCCUGGAGGCCGCGCUGGAGUUGUUGCCGUCGGUGCUGCGGUGGAAGACAGGAAGUGCGUCAGCUGCAGAGACGCACCUUCUAUUCCGCGCUGAUGUCGACUUGAGCCGGUGCUGCUCUGCCGGCCUGUGUUCCGGCCCUGAUAGUACCGCUUGUCCGGCACAACAGAAGGGUGGUUUUGCACGGCUGCGGCCGUCUUGUUGGAUGCGCUACCGAACCACAGCAUCGACACCAGCUGCUGCUCCGCCCUCUACAGCCUCCAUCGCUGCCGCGCUGCCGGAGCUGUCCAAGGCAGAGGCAGCGCUCGUGUGUGUGCUUGAGCGCCUGAUGAAUGCCGCCAUCGGCCCAGCCGGCGGCUUGCGCAAGUCGCUCGGUCGCUCCGCCACCGCGCACGCUCUCAUUCUCGAGCCUGAGGCGCACGGGGUGGUGACGUGUCGGCUGCACCUCGGUUCGCCUCCACCCAAGUGGGAGCGCAAUGGCUUGCCUGUACGUGGGGUGAGCGUGCCGCCUCUAUCGCACAGUUUCGCGACAAGGCAGCCGGCACUGAGCUCAGCACCGCCGACGGCGCGCGCGGCACAUUCACCCGUUGUCGCCGCUCUCCUAUCCUGGUACGCGGUCGACUUUGAAGCAGUCUUCGGUCGCCUUUAUCGUGUGUGGAGGCUCGCCCAACGGUACCAUUCUCGCUGCCCCGCCAAGUCAUGCGGCGAAAUCGGGGCGGCGGAGGCAGCGGCUCUACACGAUAGCGGCCCAUGGAGGGGUGUGGUGGACGCAGCCGUGCGAUGCUACACUGACGACGCUGGCUGCAGUGGUCAAGCGCACGAGGGUCCUGCACUGGGUUCGCUUGGUCGCUGCCUCCUCUUGGCGAUUUGGCUGUCGCUGGCCCUCGUCGAUGUUGACGAGGGCGUCGGUGCCGCCGCCCCCUGCCCACCAGUGACGUGGAAAGGGACGCUGUACUACUCCAGUCGACGAAACGUGCUGCAUGUGCGGGACUGGGGUACGGCCCUCCAUCUACGCCACGUAGCCUCGUGUUUGUCUGCCGGCGACGACCAGGUCAUGGGCGGCGACACUGCAAAUGCCGGCGCCCUGCAGGAUGGGAAUAGCAGGGGGAGGGAGUGUGGCGCCGCUGUAAAGAGGGCAGUGUCGACCGUCGUCAACUCAUUCGCUCGUGCUCGCAUCGCCGCCGUUGCCGCCCAGGCUCGCACUAGACUUCAAGCGCAGUCAACGACUCAUCUGACUUUCUCUAAGGCACACGACCCUCGUGUGCACACCACGACAACCUCCCGUGGUGCUGGUGACAGCACCAGCCGCAGCACGUGCCGACUUUUACAUAUCUGUGGCGAUGAUGGCGCUGCCGCGGAGGACGACGACGAAUGCGUUCUGCUGAGCUGGAGCUGCGACACUGCGAAGGAGGAAAGUGGGCCGCGUGAGGGCGGCUCUGGAAUAUCGCUCGUGCAACCGCAGCAGGGGAAGCCACGCAGGGGCGGUGGUGACCCUCUGCCGUCCACAGAUCCGCUCGUCAGCGCCUCUCUCCACAGCUCGUGGCUGGACUACAGCAUCGAAGAGUUCGCGGAGGCAAAUGACGGCACGAUCGGCCAGCCGCUCGUGGCACAGGCGCCAGCGCCACAAGUGAAGGAGGAUUCAGAGCACUUUGCUCUGGAUCCUGCACUGGCGGUGCCCCUCGUCGAGCUCGAAUCCCAUCUUCGCGAACUACUGACCCGUAACGCCCUGUCCGAGAUGCUUUCGCUCGUUGGACUCACUGGAGGACUCGCGUGGCGCACGUGUGGCAAUGGCGAGGUGGCUGCUCGGCAGCACCUCGCUAGCCACGCGCGGUCACAUAACGUGAGGACGGAGGCACAGCGACGGUUCGGUGGUUCUGGCGCGCUUCCCGUAGAUGAAGUGCAGCUGCACGAGGAUGAGCAGCCGCCAUCACCCGCCGCCGCUCACGUGGAUGUAUCCUUGUUGACGUGGCGUGCUCUAGCUGCGCUAGCCUCCUCGAAAGCAGCGCGUCUUCAGGAGGACGAAGAGUCUACUCGAAGCGCCCUCUGUAGAGCUGAGCACCGCAUGCGUCAGUACGUCCAUGCUCGUUGCACACACAUCGGCGCUCUGCUCCUACUGCAGAGCCGAGAGGCGCGUGGGCGCCUGCACUUGAGCCAAGUGUGGGAUCUGGAACAGGAGGAGUGGCAGGCCCGAUGGAGCACAGUGCUAGUGCCCGAGUGCGUGCUACGUAGCCUCCUCCACGAGAAGGCCGCCGCAGGAGCCUGGAGAGCGUUGCCCCAGCAAGAGGGACUACAAUCACGGCAACAGCACGACUGUCGACACCGCAACAGACGUCUUGGAUAUGCUUCCCAAUGGCAUCAGAGGGGUCCGCGCGGCAGUGCGGCAUCCCUCAAGGUCGUCCCUUCUCCCCCUCCACCGGCUGCAGACGAGGCGCGGACACAUCGAAUGUUUUUGCUCUGCGGAGACGUGGAAGAGGUCGACAGGGGGGCGCCAGACCGCGCUUCACAAAGAAGCCCGCGCGUCAAAGCCGACGACUCCCACAGCCCUCCAUCUCGCCAGAGGAAUCAGCAGGAGCCGCAGGCGCCACUGCUAGCGCCGCUCCGCUCACCAUCGCUCACGAUGCGGCCACGUCGUGCGCCUCGGCAAACGUGUCCCGAUAAACCUGCGGCGAGGGUGCCUGUCUCGACUUACGCGUCCGCUGCUGCUGCCCGUUCGGCGGUUCCUGUCCUGUCUAUCUCGCUAUGCGAGACGUCACCUUCGGCAUCGGCGCGUACAUCAACGCGCCGAUGCCUGAACGAGCUUCCUCUCAAUCACCGCAGGAUCGAUGCCGGCUUUGCCCGUAUCGUGCCACCGCACCAACUUGUAUCACCCCCACGCACUGCUGCAAUAUGCUGGCGCUUAGUGGCUGAGGACGGUGCCGCACUCGUCGAUCACGACUCUGCGAGGAGGAAAGCGUCACUCCUGAGGCACGAAGGCACCCACUGCGACACUGCAGCGCGCCGAGGACCAUCUGCAAAGGAGAGCACGUCGGCUGCCGUAGCAGAGGCGAUUUGCACGGCUGCCGCAGUGAAGCGCAAACGUGCGGACAGCGAGAGCAGAGGUGCUCCUCUUGGCACCGCGCCUCCUUCCCCCUCUACAGCGAAGGAGAGGUUGGCGACGCACGCUGGCCUACGCGUCUCGGCGGCUCCACCUGUGCUUACGCAUGUCGCGACUCAUGUGGCCAGCACAACUUCCGCCCCGCCACGUCGCCUUCGCGCACCCGUAGUAACGUGGUCGGAUGAUGUGCAGCAGUAUUGAAGUACGACAGUGCCUCCUUUCUUUCCCUCUCCCCCACGCACCCCUCGAUUGAUGCACCGGCUUGCGACUGUCCGACCAACGCGGGUCAUUGAAGAGGAGAAGCACGCCAAAGACGAAGGUGAUGGAGCAGACACGUUACGCGGAGCGCAUACGCUUUUCCUUUUUGGAUGUGCGUGUGCGUAAGUCCGAUCAACGGCGUGGACUGCCUUGAUGUCGACGAUCGCAACGUCGAUGGCCCCGGUCACUGCUCACCAGCGAGUGCGACCAACGCACUGCACGCCAUGUCCUCCCUCCCUCCGGUACACACACACACACACAGAAGCAUCGUUCCUGCACCCCCUGCCCUCUCCAUCGUUGCUCUCUUCCGCCCCAUCGGAGGGGUUACAG
rnacentral:misc_RNA from 1 species